rnacentral:rRNA from 1 species
UACGUAGGGCGCGAGCGUUGUCCGGAUUUAUUGGGCGUAAAGAGCUCGUAGGCGGCUUGUCGCGUCGACUGUGAAAUCCCCGCGGCUCAACUGCGGGUCUGCAGCCGAUACGGGCAGGCUAGAGUUCGGUAGGGGAGACUGGAAUUCCUGGUGUAGCGGUGAAAUGCGCAGAUAUCAGGAGGAACACCGAUGGCGAAGGCAGGUCUCUGGGCCGAUACUGACGCUGAGGAGCGAAAGCGUGGGGAGCGAACAGG